AGCAGCCGCGGUAAUUCCAGCUCCAAUAGCGUAUAUUAAAGUUGUUGCAGUUAAAAAGCUCGUAGUUGAAUUUCGGGGUUAGUAGAUCGGUCAUGCCUCUGGUAUGCACUGGUCUUACUGAUUUCUCCUUCCUGAUGAACCGGAAUGCCAUUAAUUUGGUGUUGCGGGGAAACUGGACUGUUACUUUGAAAAAUUAGAGUGUUUAAAGCAGGCUAACGCUUGAAUACAUUAGCAUGGAAUAAUGAAAUAGGACGUUCGAUC
rnacentral:rRNA from 1 species